CUUUUUCAAAAAGAUAUGUCUUAUAUAUAAAACGAGAGUAUUUUUUAACACAGUGAAACGUCAUUUGAUAUUCGUUUUAUAAAAGAAAACGGAGCCACACGAUGAGAGUUACUGCUGACAAGAUUUCCCCGCACCACGAUCUGUACGUAAUAAUAAUCGCUGUAAGAUUCAAGGGAUAUGCAUUGCGUUGCGCGGUGCGUACUAAAGUCUGGACUUGUCCGGUGAACAGUAGAUGCGCGUAGUUCUCCUGAAGAAGAGUCUUUUCUCUCUCUCUCUCUCCCCCACAUUGGUGAGAUAGCUCGCGGUUACGACUCUCUGUUGCAGCACUUUCGUCAAAUCUCACCGUUUCAGUAGUUCUGCGAUAAUAACUAUAUAACAUCAUAUACUAAAUUUAACGUACGAUGACAUUCUGUAAAUAUGAAUUAUAGGAUGAGGCUGCAGUGACAGUGAACUUAACACGACGAACUUCUAAUGCGUGUUUAAUAAGUGACACAUACGUGGAGUGUUUUGGUUUAGUGAAAUUGAGAUUUCAGUGUUCCUUUUCUUAAUAAACAGAAGUUACUGAAACAUCUGUACGAGUCUACUGAGGCUAAAAGAAUAUCUACAUGGUGUCGUAGGAUGACUGAUCCAAAAAUCAAAAUGCAUUACACACCACCGAGCUCGGACACCAUUCAAACAAAGCCUUUUCCUAUUCGUGGCGAACGAGCGAAUUGUGUAAACAAGCCGCAUGUGAUUGCUAUGGUAGGGUUGCCUGCCCGUGGUAAAACGUACAUCUCAAAGAAGCUGUGUAGAUAUCUCAAUUGGAUUGGUAUAAAUACAAAGGUGUUCAACUUGGGAGAAUACAGGCGACAUGCAACCACUGCUUAUCAAUGCCACGAAUUUUUCCGUCCUGAUAAUAUUAAAGCAAUGGCAAUACGUACCCAGUGCGCGAUGGACGCCCUUAAGGACGUCUGCCAAUGGUUGGAGAGCGGGGACGGCGAAGUGGCUGUGUUCGAUGCCACCAACUCAACCAUCGAGAGACGACAUCUAAUCAGGGACAUCGUGGUCGAGAAAAUGGGCUUCAAGCUCUUCUUUGUCGAAUCUGUUUGCAACGAUCCUGAGAUCGUUGAACAGAAUAUUAUGGAAGUAAAAGUGAGUAGUCCAGAUUAUACGAAUAUGAACAAGGAAGAAGUACUGGCUGAUUUCAUGCUGAGAAUCGAACACUAUCGAGAAAAGUAUCAGCCAUUGGACGAGAAUCAAGAAAGCGAUUUAUCCUUUAUGAAAAUUUAUAACACUGGCGAGAAAGUGCUGGUCCAUAAACACGAGGGUCACAUACAAAGUAGGAUAGUUUAUUACCUUAUGAACAUCCAUAUAGUGCCACGUACAAUCUAUUUAACUAGGCACGGCGAGAGCGUGAUGAACCUCGAAGGUAAGAUAGGCGGAGACUCGGAGUUGAGCGUUAGGGGUUGGGAAUAUGCCAAAGCAUUGGCUAACUACAUUACUGGUCAGGAUAUUCAGGGUUUGCGAGUGUGGACUAGCUGGCUGAAGAGGACCAUUCAAACGGCAAGUGACGUGAAUGUGCCCCAAGAAAGAUGGAAAGCGUUAAAUGAGAUCGACGCGGGUAUUUGUGAAGAAAUGACUUAUGAAGAAAUCGCAGAAAAGUAUCCGACAGACUUUGCCGCGAGAGAUCAAAAUAAAUUCUCAUAUCGUUAUCCGAGAGGGGAAAGUUACGAAGAUCUGGUCGCGCGAUUGGAACCAGUGAUAAUGGAAUUAGAACGACAGGGUAAUGUUUUGGUUGUUAGCCACCAAGCAGUUUUGCGAUGUCUAUUUGCUUACUUCCUAGACAAAAGUGCGGAUGAAUUACCAUAUUUACAAGUGCCACUACAUACUAUUAUUAAAUUAACGCCAGUUGCCUAUGGCUGUAAAGUGGAACAUAUUCGAUUACCAAUUGACGCAGUGAACACUCAUCGACCAAAACCAAAGAAUGCCUGACCAUUAGUGGAUUGGGACUACUUCCUCGUAUCUAAUCUUGAUUUAAUGUGUCCUAAAUGUCAUCCAAUUCUAAGCUUUGUAUAUUAAACAAUCCCGGGAUAUCUAGAGGAACAAUUCCGAAGGAAAGAAAAAUUGCCUCACACCUGAUAACGACAACAUUGUAGCACGACAGAGCUAAUUCUAAUCGUCGUUACGAGGUGCUGAAGACGCAUUCUUUUGGCAGCUGGCUGCCUUUAUACGUCCGAUGCAACGUGCAUCCAUUAACUCUUUAUUUUAAUCAAAUAUACACGAAAUAUGUCUGAUAUCAUCCGACAUUAUUUCUAUACAAAUUACGUGAUCAAAGGGUUCCUUUCUGUUCUGUCGAUUUUCUAAUACGUGCCGUAUGCUAGUGUAGCGUUAAAAUGUGACAAAUUUUGACUUGUGACAAAAUACAGAUGUUUGACUGUAAUCGAAAUCACGGAGAGAAUCCUAUGAAACUUAAAUGCAUAUGUAACCACAUACGUAAAUUUGUUCCGAUACUAAGUUUCCUGAUAUCUAAAAUCCUAUAUCUAUAUUUUGAGUAUUAUAUUUAAAAAAUGGUAUCGCAUUAAACAUGUUUAACUUCUCGAUUUGUUAUAUAUUUCGUGUUGUUUGUAAAUCGUCGAUAGGAAAGAAAAAAAAAAAUCAAUCCCCGCAGGUAUUUCUAACAUACAUAGUGGUUAUAUAAUGACGUUUAUGUAUUUUAUAGAAAUGUUUUAUUGAUACUAACAUAUUCUGGCAAUUAUAAACUUAUCAAGUUGCGUAUAUUAUCGAUUAGAAAACAGCUGUCUUUAAUCUUCUACGGAAACUAUCGUGCCGAGCGAGAAUCAUGUUAUAUUUCAAAAAUUUAUCUCAUAUGAUAAUCUAGUUACUAGUAUUAGGGAAUAGAUUCCAAAAUAUUUUUGUCAAGAAGAUUAUACUGUGUGGAAAAUCGAGAACUUUUCGAAGUGUAAUUUAUUUUAAGAGAAGUGUACAUAUUUUUUUAAUACCCUUCACGAUGAGAAAAAAUACAUUUACUUGAAAACAA